UACGGAGGGGGCUAGCGUUGUUCGGAAUUACUGGGCGUAAAGCGCGCGUAGGCGGACCUGCAAGUCGGGGGUGAAAGCCCGAGGCUCAACCUCGGAACUGCCUUCGAUACUGCGGGUCUCGAGUCCGGAAGAGGAGAGUGGAAUUCCUGGUGUAGCGGUGAAAUGCGCAGAUAUCAGGAAGAACACCCGUGGCGAAGGCGGCUCUCUGGGACGGUACUGACGCUGAGACGCGAAAGCGUGGGGAGCGAACAGG
rnacentral:rRNA from 1 species